AAUAGAUACCCCGGUAGUCCACGCCGUAAACGAUGAGUGCUAAGUGUUAGAGGGUUUCCGCCCUUUAGUGCUGCAGCAAACGCAUUAAGCACUCCGCCUGGGGAGUACGGCCGCAAGGCUGAAACUCAAAGGAAUUGACGGGGACCCGCACAAGCGGUGGAGUAUGUGGUUUAAUUCGAAGCAACGCGAAGAACCUUACCAGGUCUUGACAUCCUCUGACCAUCCUAGAGAUAGGACCUUCCCCUUCGGAGGACAGAGUGACAGGUGGUGCAUGGUUGUCGUCAGCUCGUGUCGUGAGAUGUUGGGUUAAGUCCCGCAACGAGCGCAACCCUUGUCCUUAGUUGCCAGCAUUCAGUUGGGCACUCUAAGGAGACUGCCGGUGACAAACCGGAGGAAGGUGGGGAUGACGUCAAAUCAUCAUGCCCCUUAUGACCUGGGCUACACACGUGCUACAAUGGAUGGUACAAAGGGCUGCGAAGCCGCGAGGUGGAGCCAAUCCCGAUAAAACCAUUCUCAGUUCGGAUUGCAGG
rnacentral:rRNA from 1 species